UUGAGAUUACACGCUCGGGCUCUCUCGUUACUAUCGUCCCUCUCUCAAUCCAAGACUCGCGGCGGCGCUAUCUUCCCUCUCCUCCGAUCACGACCUAACGCCACCAUAAACGACACAUCCUCCUUCCUCUCCGUUUCGAUACAAGACCCCUCCAAUCCUACCUCACAACACAAACCCUAAAAGCCUAAAAACUUGAUUAAACGAUGAAGAAGAUAAAAUCAUGGGGGAAGGAUUCAACCCGAUCAAAUCAACCACGUAGCGGAGAAAAAUCACAAAAAACGAAUUCAAAAAUGAGCAAGCUUGGGGACAUACUUGAAGUGCGAAUUGAGAAUGGCCGAUGAGGAAAACCAGAGUGGAGGUUGAUGAUGAUAUUACUGCUUGAUGAAGAUUUUCAGAGUUGAAGAAUCAAGAUGAUGAACGAAAUUGUUAAACUGAAGGUGAGUUUGCAGAUGAGGAUGAAGCUGAUUUAAGAUGGUGUUGACUUAAGAAGAUGAAGAGGAAGCUUUUGAGGUUUUCUGGUUUUUUAUUGCAGAGAGGUGAAGAUUGAGGUUUUCGAGUUUGAAUAGAGGUGAAGGAGAAGAUGAUUGAGAAUUCAUGGAGAUUGGUGAAGAUGAUGAAGCAAGAGAGGAGAGUUGAAUGAAUGAAGUGUGAAGAGGAUGGUGAAGUGAAGAUUAGAGAAGGUGAAUGGAAGAUGAAUGUAGUGUGAAAAAUGGUGAAGUGAAGAUGGUGAUGAUGAAUGGAUCGAGAAGCAGAGGAUUGGUGGAAGUGAAGAUGGUGAUGAAGUGAGAAAAGUGAUGAAGAAAACUGAAUUGAAGAGUGAAGCUCUGUUAUAUAUCAAUUGCAAGGUUUGGCAAAGUGCAGGUUUUUUGGAGCAAGGUGAUUGGCAUGGAGCUUGUAUCAAGGAGAACUUAGGAUAAGGCUUUUGAUUAGAACAAUAGGCCCAGAGUUAUUUUGUGUAAUUUUGUAAUAGUUCUUUGUAGUAUUUCCUUGAGAUGUAAUGCAUUUGAAAGCUUAUAAUAAA